rnacentral:rRNA from 1 species
AGCAGCCGCGGUAAUUCCAGCUCCAAUAGCGUAUAUUAAAGUUGUUGCAGUUAAAAAGCUCGUAGUUGAAUUUCGGGAUCAAUAUGUUGGUCGUGCCUUGGUACGUACUGGCAUUAUCGAUUCCUACCUUCUGAAGAACCUCGAUGUCAUUAAUUUGGUGUCUUGGGGAAUCAGGACUGUUACUUUGAAAAAAUUAGAGUGUUUAAAGCAGGCUCGCGCUUGAAUACAUUAGCAUGGAAUAAUGAAAUAGGACGUUUGAUUCUAUUUUGUUGGUUUCUAGGAUCGACGUAAUGAUUAAUAGGGAUAGUUGGGGGCAUUAGUAUUCAAUUGUCAGAGGUGAAAUUCUUGGAUUUAUUGAAGACUAACUACUGCGAAAGCAUUUGCCAAGGAUGUUUUCAUUAAUCAAGAACGAAAGUUAGGGGAUCGAAGACGAUCAGAUACCGUCGUAGU